AGCGAACGCUGGCGGCAGGCCUAACACAUGCAAGUCGAACGAACUCUUCGGAGUUAGUGGCGGACGGGUGAGUAACACGUGGGAACGUGCCUUUUUGUUCGGAAUAACUCAGGGAAACUUGUGCUAAUACCGAAUGUGCCCUUCGGGGGAAAGGUUUAUCGCCAUUAGAGCGGCCCGCGUCUGAUUAGCUAGUUGGUGAGGUAACGGCUCACCAAGGCUACGAUCAGUAGAUGGUCUGAGAGGAUGACCAGCCACACUGGGACUGAGACACGGCCCAGACUCCUACGGGAGGGAGGAGUGGGGAAUAAUGCGAAAUGGGCGAAAGCCUGAAGAAGCCAUGCCGCGUGAAUGAUGAAGGUCUUAGGAUUGUAAAAUUCUUUAAACGGGGACGAUAAUGACGGUACCCGGAGAAGAAGCCCCGGCUAACUUCGUG
rnacentral:rRNA from 1 species